rnacentral:lncRNA from 1 species
GUGGCAACAUUGGACGCUUCGUGCAAUUUUUGAAGGAACUUGAUGAAGAUCUGUUGCAACUGCAGCACUUCAUACUUGUAUCUCAGUUAAUUAUGUACCCAUCUACUACAUAUGUAUACCUGUCAAUGCAAAUUGUAUUCAGAUUAGCAGUGCGACAGUGCUACUUAUCGAUGUAAUAGGCGCACUUGAGAAAUUCAGGUUGAUGUUUCAACUUCUUACCAGGCUAUAUUUUCCGCAUGCAGACAUAAGUGAUUAAGCUCAGGGAAAACCAUGGUAGUGGUAUCUUGUUUGAUGCUAGAACUCCCGUACCAGCACCAUGGGGCAGUCCUGCAGAUCAUGUGGCAAGUGUCAUGAAGGUUGUAAGGCGAGCGUGAAGCCACCAACAACCCCAUGAUUGAGCUGCAGAGAAGGGUGGACUCUGAUUCUACAGCUCCCGCUUUGCUGAUUGCUUCUUUCUGAUUAAAUUAGAAGAUGGGAGAAGAGCACCAUGGUCAGACCUUUAGAUCGUAUGGCAUGUGCCGAGGAGGCCAGCUAUCCUUCUUCCCCCAUUCUUCUUCUCCCUACCUCUCCUCCCCAAAUCCUCUUCUGUUUCUCUUUCAUACCAGGGAAAACUGAAGCUCCGCCUCUCCAGCCUUCCUCUUCGUCACCGACGACCCCUGCCUCGCCGCCCGCCUUCGAAUCAGCCUCCCCAGCCACUGCCACUCACGGAUCCGGCCCCUGCAAGCUCCAGCCGCC